GAGUUUUGAUUUAAAAGUAAGACUGUGAGCUGAUUAAACUACUGCUGAAAAGGUUCUGUUUUACAUGUAGUUAAUACACAUGAACUCUUGCAUCAUUCAAAUUCAUCUUUCUGCUGAAGUACUAGGCUACAGUUAUUCCUCCCAAACUGUUAAAAAUUUACUCAUUCACUAUAAAUUACAAGAGAAUGCAGAAAAUAAGAGAAUUGUGCUAAUUAUACAGCAGGGCAACCAACAAGGGAUUCUUUUCUUCAAGUCCCUCAAAGUGGUUGCAAAUAAAUGGGGUUUUUCCUGGCCAAAGUUAAGCCCUGUAGCAGGUGAGAUAAAUAGUCCUCAGCUCUGGUCCCUAUCAUCUUCAAAGAGACAAGUUAAACUUCAACAGUUAUCGACUGGUUCAAAGGGCCGGCCGCAAGAGAACUAGCAUAGAGGUUGCAAAAAGAAAGACCCUAGCAAGGCUGGUGCCCUCUGAUCCAGUAGGGACCAAUAUGAGAUCAAUUGGAAGACCACAAAAUCCAUGGACUGGUUCAAAGGGCCGGCCACAAGAGAACUAGCACAGAGGCUGCACAAAGAAAGACCCGAGCAAGGCUGGUGCCCUCUGAUCCAGUAGGGAC
rnacentral:lncRNA from 1 species